rnacentral:lncRNA from 1 species
GAAGGAGCUCAGAUCAAAGCCGUUCACAUCAGAAAAGCCCCAGGAAGAGCAGCCGAGGAGGAGGAGGAGGGCACGAGAGCUGCUCAGGACCAGCGAGGGGUGGCAGCGCUGCUGGUCUGGAGUCAGCACAGGGCAGGUGAUGGCACGGGGAGGAGGAGGAAGCAGCCCCCUCCCGGGGAGAGCACUGCGCCCUGGUUUAUAGCUAGAAGCUCAUCCAAGGAGCCCAUCAGGUACCUGUUCCCAGCCCAUCUUCUCACGUGGCCACCAGCCCUGAGAGCAGCAGGGCUCGGAGAGGAGCAAGCGGCCGUUCCCUGCCCAGGACUCGACGCUUACCUCCUCCUCUGCCGACCUGGUAGCGCGGCGUGCCCCCUCCUCCCUGGCCCCCAGCCCCGCAGCCACACACCAGCGCCUUUCAUUAGCAAAGCGGAGGACCAGAGCCCCAUCCAGGGCCGGAGGGUGCUGACAAGAGCUGCAUUCAUCAGGGCACUGGCUCAGGCUCAAACCAAACAGGACGUCGGCUGCGAAGCCGCCGGGAGGACGGGGCCUGUCUGGGCAGAGGGCUGGGUGAAAUCCCUUUUCUCCAGCCUCAGCAGCGCCGCCGAUUCGCUGAGCACCACGGACCGCUGCAACCCCAGCCUGAUCUGCACCAACCUUGUGCGAAGGCCCCGAAGAAGGCUGAAAGGCGCCUCUUUGCUCCGCUUGGCUCCUCGCUGUGCCGAGCUCCCUGCAGGGCCAGCAACCAGCCGCAGCAGCCCCAGGGAAGCCACGCGCGACAACCACUGCAGCCAUCGGGCCAGUGAAAAACACAACAGCCCGGCUUGCUCGGGGCGCAAAGCAAUCACACCUCCUUUGGGGAAAGAAAAAGCAACUAGGAAAGGCUUGAGCAUUACUUGUGCUUGCAACACGUGCUGGAAGGGAAGGCAGGGAGAAGAUAAACUCACAGCUAGCUCCCCACGCUCAGUCUCGGGGCAGGCUGAGCCACCAGCCUCAGAACAAAACAGCCACCAGCCCACCAGCUGCUAA